rnacentral:rRNA from 1 species
UACGGGGGGGGCAAGCGUUGUUCGGAAUUACUGGGCGUAAAGGGUUCGUAGGUGGCCAACUCAGUCAGACGUGAAAUCCCUCAGCUCAACUGGGGAACUGCGUCUGAUACUAGAUGGCUCGAGUGCAGGAGAGGAACGCGGAAUUCCAGGUGUAGCGGUGAAAUGCGUAAAUAUCUGGAGGAACACCGGUGGCGAAGGCGACGUUCUGGACUGCAACUGACACUGAGUAACGAAAUCCAGGGGAGCAAACGGG